AUCAGACCAGCAGCAGAUGGAGUCUAUGACAAAAUCCCUGGAUUUCAUCGUUGACACUGCUUCCGGUGAUCACCCCUUUGAUCCUUACAUGUCACUUCUGAAGAUUGGUGGAGUUUUGGUCCUAGUGGGCUUUCCUAGUGAAGUCCGUCUGAAUCCCGGAAGUCUCAACCUUGGUUCGAGAAGAAUUUCUGGCAGCUUGACUGGUGGUAC